UGUGAGUGUGUCAUAUAUACGUACGUUUGUGCUUGUGCGCUUGUGCGCUGUCGAGCGCUUUUAAUUGUAUACAACAUUUUUAUAUGGGUAGCUGGUGAUUCAAGAUCUAUUUUUCGACCUAUAUAAGAGAGAAAUUUGCAGAAGAAAAAAAAUAUACCAAAGUAUUAAUAAGGAUCGAACAUAUAUUUUUGAUGUACUCGGGCCGCGAGGCUGAGCAAUAUUCUAAGGAAAGUAUUGUACAAGAUACAAAGAUUGGACAAUAUCUCAUCCCUUUAUCUUCCAUUGACAAUUUGAAGAUAUGCUAAAAACUGAUCAAGAAGCUUUCAUGCAAGUUGUGAACAAGGUUAUGUUAAUUGGAGGAAAACAUGAAAAGAAUUUUAUUAGAAGAAGUUUGAGGGCUACAUUUUCUGAUGACUUAGCCUCCAUGUGUUCAUGAACUGGCCAAAAAAAUAAUUAUAAAAUUGGAGAUACGCACACACACAAUUCUGAGCAUUAAAAAAGCUUUUAGAGCAAUAUUCCCUCGGAAUACAGAAAAAGAUUUUCAACACUUUGUAAUGGAGUGGUUCAGAUUCGCAAACGUCCGUAAGGAAAAAAAAACAUUAAAAAGGAAGUGAUAAAUAUAUUAUCUUACUUGCGUGGCUCCGCGCGAGUGAUUAUUAUAGUAACAAAUUUUUUUAUUUGAAAGAUGAGUUUUAUCCCAAAACCUUACGCUAGGAUCAGUGAUCUUCACCAAAGAUAUUAUUGUGAUAAACUGAAAACUGUAAUAUAUGGUAUAUAUUAUUUUUAUAUAAAUAAAACUUUUUUAUGAUAA